rnacentral:rRNA from 1 species
UGGGGAAUAUUGCACAAUGGGCGCAAGCCUGAUGCAGCCAUGCCGCGUGUAUGAAGAAGGCCUUCGGGUUGUAAAGUACUUUCAGUCGGGAGGAAGGUGUCAAGGUUAAUAACCUUGGCAAUUGACGUUACCGACAGAAGAAGCACCGGCUAACUCCGUGCCAGCAGCCGCGGUAAUACGGAGGGUGCAAGCGUUAAUCGGAAUUACUGGGCGUAAAGCGCACGCAGGCGGUUGAUUGAGUCAGAUGUGAAAUCCCCGGGCUUAACCCGGGAAUUGCAUCUGAUGCUGGUCAGCUAGAGUCUUGUAGAGGGGGGUAGAAUUCCAUGUGUAGCGGUGAAAUGCGUAGAGAUGUGGAGGAAUACCGGUGGCGAAGGCGGCCCCCUGGACAAAGACUGACGCUCAGGUGCGAAAGCGUGGGGAGCAAACAGG